rnacentral:rRNA from 1 species
CCUACGGGUGGCAGCAGUGAGGAAUAUUGGUCAAUGGACGCGAGUCUGAACCAGCCAAGUCGCGUGAAGGAAGACGGCCCUAUGGGUUGUAAACUGCUUUUGUAUGGGGGUAAAAGGUGCCACGUGUAGGAGUUUGUAAGUACCAUAUGAAUAAGGAUCGGCUAACUCCGUGCCAGCAGCCGCGGUAAUACGGAGGAUUCAAGCGUUAUCCGGAUUUAUUGGGUUUAAAGGGUGCGUAGGUGGUCUGUUAAGUUAGUUGUGAAAGUUCGAGGCUCAACCGCGAAAUUGCCUUUGAAACUGGUAGGCUUGAGUGUAGUAGCGGUAGGCGGAAUGCGUGGUGUAGCGGUGAAAUGCUUAGAGAUCACGCAGAACACCGAUUGCGAAGGCAGCUUACCGGACUGCUACUGACGCUGAGGCACGAAAGCGUGGGGAUCAAACAGGAUUAGAUACCCGAGUAGUC